UUGAACGCUGGCGGCAGGCCUAACACAUGCAAGUCGAGCGGAUGAAGGGAGCUUGCUCCUGGAUUCAGCGGCGGACGGGUGAGUAAUGCCUAGGAAUCUGCCUGGUAGUGGGGGAUAACGUCCGGAAACGGGCGCUAAUACCGCAUACGUCCGGAGGGAGAAAGUGGGGGAUCUUCGGACCUCACGCUAUCAGAUGAGCCUAGGUCGGAUUAGCUAGUUGGUGGGGUAAAGGCCUACCAAGGCGACGAUCCGUAACUGGUCUGAGAGGAUGAUCAGUCACACUGGAACUGAGACACGGUCCAGACUCCUACGGGAGGCAGCAGUGGGGAAUAUUGGACAAUGGGCGAAAGCCUGAUCCAGCCAUGCCGCGUGUGUGAAGAAGGUCUUCGGAUUGUAAAGCACUUUAAGUUGGGAGGAAGGGCAGUAAGUUAAUACCUUGCUGUUUUGACGUUACCAACAGAAUAAGCACCGGCUAACUUCGUG
rnacentral:rRNA from 1 species